rnacentral:sRNA from 2 species
GUUUAGCCCUGAUGGAAGUGAAAAUCAUUUUGUUUUGUCACGUUGAGCGAAGUCGAAACAUUUAAAUACAAAACAAAAUAUUGUAACGAACAGCAGGAAAAUGG